rnacentral:rRNA from 1 species
GACGAACGCUGGCGGCGUGCCUAAUACAUGCCAGUCGAACGAACCGCGACUAGGUGCUUGCACUUGGUCAAGGUGAGUGGCGAGCGGGUGAGUAACACGUGGGUAACCUACCUCAUAGUGGGGGAUAACAGUCGGAAACGACUGCUAAUACCGCAUAGGACAUAGGAUCACAUGAUUCUGUGAGGAAAGGUGGCGCAAGCUAUCGCUAAGAGAUGGACCCGCGGUGCAUUAGCUAGUUGGUAGGGUAAAGGCCUACCAAGGCGAUGAUGCAUAGCCGACCUGGGAGGGGGAUCGGCCACAUUGGGACUGAGACACGGCCCAAACUCCUACGGGAGGCAGCAGUAGGGAAUCUUCCGCAAUGGACGCAAGUCUGACGGAGCAACGCCGCGUGAGUGAAGAAGGUCUUCGGAUCGUAAAGCUCUGUUGUUAGAGAAGAACAGCGCAUAGAGUAACUGUUAUGCGUGUGACGGUAUCUAACCAGAAAGCCACGGCUAACUACGUG